GUAGGGGGCGAGCGUUGUCCGGAAUUAUUGGGCGUAAAGAGCUCGUAGGCGGCUCAGCAAGUCGGCUGUGAAAUCCCGAGGCUCAACCUCGGAACUGCAGUCGAUACUGCUGUGGCUAGAGUCUGGUAGAGGAGAGUGGAAUUCCCGGUGUAGCGGUGAAAUGCGCAGAUAUCGGGAGGAACACCAGUAGCGAAGGCGGCUCUCUGGGCCAGUACUGACGCUGAGGAGCGAAAGCGUGGGGAGCAAACAGGAUUAGAUACCCUGGUAGUCCACGCCGUAAACGUUGGGUACUAGGUGUGGCGUCCCGAUCAACGGAUGCCGUGCCGAAGCUAACGCAUUAAGUACCCCGCCUGGGGAGUGCGGCCGCAAGGCUA
rnacentral:rRNA from 1 species